GGUGCCCUGACCGAGUGGCUAGGUAGCGGUCUGCAAAACCGUCCACAGCAGUUCGAAUCUGCUGGGCACCUCCA
rnacentral:tRNA from 1 species